CUUCAGCACAGAGCCUGAUGGGGGGCUCGAACCCCCCCAAAACAGUGAGAUCAUAACCUGAGCCGAAAUCAAGAGUCGGACGCCUCACCGACCGAGCCGCCCAGGCGCCUCUGAAACAGCCAUUGCUGAGCCCCUACAGCGCAGCCCUGAUGCUACAGGUCAAGGUCAGUGAAACCGUGGGGGCAUGAGACCGCGCGUGUCUGGACAGGCCCUCUGACACAAAGAGGCAGGGAAGUCAGGUGCGCGCUUUCUGAAGCUCAAGUAAACGGAUCCUACAACAAGGCGUCUGAAGGUCGGCGGCCUCCGGGCCCUGCUCUGCCCGUGAGACGAGAGGUUGAGCUUUCCCACCGAAGGCCCAGGAGACCGCCCCACCCACACCGUGACUCAACGCCCACCCCGGGGCCCAGAGCCCCGCACCCGCCUCCUCCGCCAGCCGGGUCUCUCCUAUCGCGGCUCCCGAUCGGACCUCACCCGCCAAGACUCCUCUCCCCAAGACAUCUAUUUGGAAAGGAAUGCUCCCCGGGUACUGUUUCUCACACACGCCCUGGGGUCCUGCCAAAUUCUCAAGGGAGGGUUUCCUCCAGUUGGCCACCUGCCACCUGCGGGCCGAGCGUGGGAACUGCAGCCGCGGCCCUGGCGUCAGGAUGGCCCCGCAGACGAGCCUCCCGACCAGACGGUGCUUCGCUCGCUCCGCAACUACGUGGGGUGCACCCGGGGCGGGGCGGGCCGGGCACGGCUGCCGGCACCGAGGCCCGUGGCCCGGCUCUGCCCUCCUGGGUCUCUCGGUGAAAUCCAGGCACCCAGCCCGGCGGAAGCAGGCGGGGUGAGCUGCCGAUGGCCUUCCCACCUCUGCCACCUCCCAGCGGCUCUUGCCUCGGUUUCUCCCCCUGUGGAACGAGGAAGGAGAAACUAAGGGUGCCCACCUCACAGAACUGUGGGUAUUAAGAAACUAACGCGUCCCCAGAACAGCGUCCGCGUGUCCCGUGCCUGGCGCGAGCCUUGGCUCUGACCGUCUCCCCCCUUUGACGGGCUUUCAGUGGUGCCCUGAACCCACCUAAUCUCCCAUUAAUCCCAUGAAAGUGGACAAAUACAAUAAUAUCAAAGCAUAGUCGACGAGAGAGCGAGUUGCAGCCGCUUCCACCACGAGACCCAUUUCUGUUAAAAUGCUAUAUAAUUUGUGUAAGCAAAAGCUGAGACGCAGCCCGCAUGGGGAUGCCACCAAAGGGGCCACGGCUGAACGGCCCCUUCGCUCUUCCGCCCGGAGAAGUACUACGCGGUCACGACAAGGGAAGAAGGGCAGUGUCUGCACACGGCUCUGGAGUGAUCGCAGAGAUCUCUGUGAGCGGAGCAAGACGGAGGAAAGCGUGAGAUGUGCAUUACUGUUUAUCCAGGACCGGCCGGAAAUGGAAAACCAGCCAGCUACCCAGCAGCUGUCCAUCUAUGAGCUAUUUGUCUAUCAACUAUCUAUCAUCUCUUAAUCGGCUCCUAUUUUAAGAUUAAGCAGCGAGAGAAUAAUCCAUAAGCAUUUCCGAAGGAUACCCAUAGGGGAUGGUGAGUGGCAGGGCGUGGGUCGGACACACAACCCCAUUGCGUGCAUUCUCAUCUUAGAGACUGGACUUCGGAACCACACGCUCAUGAAACCAAAUUAACCUUUAAAAAGCAAAACGACAUCAAAUAUGUCAAAAACGUGUCAAAGUAUAUCAAAAGUAGUGUAAGGUGAACCCCGGGUAUAUCCAUGUGGUGACCUGACCCACUGCUCCCAGUGGAUUGACAAGGUGGAGAUUAGAAAGUUCUUCCAGGGGGAAAAAAAAAAAAAAACGUGACAAGGACAAAAGAACAACCUUGGACCUGUGGGCGUUAUCACACCGGGACUGGUACGUGUGUUGAGGGAGGAAGCAAACGUGACGCCCAAAUUCUAUCAUCACCUGUGUCACGGCGGAUGGGGAUCUUCGGUGUGAGAUGUUUGGGGGACAGGAGCCCUGAAUUUGCAAGGGAAAUGUCAGCACAGAAUAAUAAGCAAAAUUGAUGAACACUGAUUUCAUCGGGGGGGUUGUUUCUCUGGACAGCACUGUUCUCUCCUCCUCAGCACCGCCUGGCAACGAAUUUCAGAUAAACGGGAAACUCCCGUGUCUACCAAAAUGAGGUGCGCCGUGUUUAUGGUAGUGAACCUUCCAAGAACAAAAGGGGAAUGAGAUUAUCCAGAGGUCACUUCCCCCUUCUCCCCACCUGCUCAGGGACUCCUACCCGUCAGCAACGGUGAGACUUUCGUAUUUUAUUUUUCACUAUUAAUUUCAGAGGUCAGAGGAACGCAUUCACUUUUCUGCAGUAAUCUGUCACUUACAGGUCAGGAAACAACAGCGGGCCCAAGUUACACGCGCCGCGACGCAAAAUGGGCUCCUCGGAAACCAUGGUCGGCGUGCUCUCCGGAACCGAUUCCCGUUCUGGCUCCUGACCCAAAGGUCUGACGGCGCGGGUGGUAAAGCCACACCCAGCCUGGCCGAGACAGGUCCCGAGACGUUCCCACCUGCCCUCUCACGUAAGCGUGCGGGGUUCUACAGCUGGAGGGGACUCGGAUGAAAACGACUUUAAUUAUGUGAUCUUCAAAUUAUUUCCAAACCCAGCCCGGCUUUAGGACGACUGGUUUCCUGCGUGCUUUAAAGCUUUAACAAAUGGCGCGCUAUUUAAAUGCUCGUUUUCAAUUUGUUGAGAGAAGAGGCAACGCUGAUUUUUCGAGAAUAUGGCUCAAAUGUAAAGCCUAUCUAGUGGGAAGCAGGAACGGCUUUUGAAUACACGAAAAAAUGACUAACUUUUACAAAACUUUAUCUGUAGACGGCUUCCCUCCCAAGGUCAGAUGGACUUUUCUUUACCCCGUGCAUAUGCAUGAGUGCAUGUGUAUACACGUGUAUGCGUGCACGUGUGUGCACCUGUAUGCAUGUGGGUAUGCAAGUGUGUGUAUGUGUGCGCAUAUGAGAGUGUGUGCAUGUUGUGUAGGAGUGUGUGCACGCGUGUGUGUGUGCAUAUGAGUGUGUGUGUGCAUGUGUGUGUGCGCAUGCACGCACCUGAGCCAGACUCUCCCCAUCGGGUGCACAGACCCCCAGAGCAGAACACAGGCAGGAGAAUCCCCACACCCACCGCCCACCACACCUAAGCCCCGAAUGGUCUACACGGCAUCUGGGGGCGGCCUGGGGAGUGAUUGCGGAACUCAUGGGUCCGCUGGCUGACCCAUCCCCAAAGAAGCUUCAGGCCUGCCAGGGAUUUGGGGAGCGCCUCCAGCGCGAGAGGAAGGAAAUGAUCGGGGAAGUGGAAAAUGGAAGACGCAGACAAUGCGGAGGAAGAAGAUUCUUACUACAGUUAAGCACGUGACACGUCCCGGGUGGACGUUUUUCAUCCUCGCCGCUGGUGUCUCCUGCUUUCCGGUUACCCUGUCCUCUGACCUGCCCUUGAUCACAGAAACCACGGCUGCAGGGCCAUUCAUCUCCGCGAGGAGGCACACAAACCACGUGGCACGGUGGGCCACGCGCUCGGAUGACUGAGGAGAAAGAAAUCCGUAGAACCACGAAAACAGCCCAGUUCGUAUAAUUCCAGAGUUCCAGUCCUGGAUUUGCAAGCCACCCCCGUGAAAUGUGUAUUACUUGUUAAAGAGUGUACUUCAGCGGCGAAGGUUUGUAGAGCAAAGGCCACUGUCUUGAAGAAACGUAGAUACAUACCGCUUCCGGUUGACUGCAGCAACUUACAGACUACUUCUGGCAUAUUUGAAGGCAGUCGUCGUAAAUAUUUUCACCUAUAGCCCAAAGGGGCUUGUCUUUCCAGGACUGUCUCUUCAGCAGCACGCAGGGGUCCCAUGAGAAAAGCUUCUGUGAACAGGACGUCGAAUUUGGAAAGCAUCAUGAGACCAACAGCAGAUUUUAUCGUGGGUCACGUGAGCCCAGCCAUCCACUGCCUGGUCUUAAAACGUGCUGACGUGCACGCUUCCCAUUUGCAGGUGGAGUCAUCAAGGACCUUCUGGCCCGUUCUAAUUCAUCAGAGAUGCUCAGGACCUAAGCGAACGAGGCAGGGAUCUCCAGCUCCCCCACGUCAGUGUAAAAUUAGGGAGGUUCUAAGAGGAAGAAAGCUAAAUUCUUCCUUAGCUUCUCUACCUGGACAGCCCAGGGUCACCCUGGUUCCUUACACGGUUUGAGGCUACCCCAAAGUUGUCAAGCCGAAAAAAAAAAGCCCGUGUCACCCCAAGUUGUCAGGUGUGAAGAAAAAUACCUUUGAAGGCACUUUAGAUUUUUGGUAAACGGCUCUCUUUAACCUUACAUCCAGGAACAGUUUAGCGGUAACAUGAAGAUAUCAAGGAACCUCUAAGCGAGGACGAAGCUAUUCGUUGGAUGGGUAUCCAAAACGGGACGCAUUUGACUGCUGGACAAAAUAAAAACAAAGCAAAAAAGACUGGUUGCUUUAAAUGAAUGCAGACGAUAACUAUAAUAAAAUAUGCCGUUCUCUUUGAAACAUUCUAAGCCUUUCUAAGACCUCCAUUUUCUGAGCUUCUGUUCUGUCAACCCCCAUCUUACCAGUAAGUCAUGCACUUUCUAGGCCUUUCUUAAGAA